CGUAGGGUGCGAGCGUUAAUCGGAAUUACUGGGCGUAAAGCGUGCGCAGGCGGUUUAGUAAGACAGGCGUGAAAUGCCCGGGCUUAACCUGGGAACUGCAUUUGUGACUGCACGGCUAGAGUUUGGCAGAGGGGGUAGAAUUCCACGUGUAGCAGUGAAAUGCGUAGAUAUGUGGAGGAAUACCGAUGGCGAAGGCAGCCCCCUGGGUCAAGACUGACGCUCAUGCACGAAAGCGUGGGGAGCAAACAGGAUUAGAUACCCUGGUAGUCCACGCCCUAAACGAUGUCUACUAGUUGUCGGGUCUUAAUUGACUUGGUAACGCAGCUAACGCGUGAAGUAGACCGCCUGGGGAGUACGGUCGCAAGAUUA
rnacentral:rRNA from 1 species